rnacentral:rRNA from 11 species
GCCAGUCUGUAGGGAGUCGCUGUUGGGAUACCACCCCUGUAGUACUGGGACUCUAACCAGAGGCCUUGAAUCAGGUCUUGGGACACUGUCAGGCGGGCAGUUUGACUGGGGCGGUCGCCUCCCAAAGAGUAACGGAGGCGCGCGAUGGUGAGCUCAGAGCGGUCGGAAAUCGCUCGUUGAGUGCAAGGGCAUAAGCUCGCCUGACUGUGACACCGACGGGUGGAACAGAGACGAAAGUCGGUCCUAGUGAUCCGGUGGUCCCGCGUGGAAGGGCCAUCGCUCAACGGAUAAAAGGUACUCCGGGGAUAACAGGCUGAUACCGC